rnacentral:rRNA from 1 species
AUACGGAGGGGGUUAGCGUUGUUCGGAAUUACUGGGCGUAAAGCGCACGUAGGCGGAUUGGAAAGUUGGGGGUGAAAUCCCAGGGCUCAACCCUGGAACUGCCUCCAAAACUAACAGUCUAGAGUUCGAGGGAGGUGAGUGGAAUUCCAAGUGUAGAGGUGAAAUUCGUAGAUAUUUGGAGGAACACCAGUGGCGAAGGCGGCUCACUGGCUCGAUACUGACGCUGAGGUGCGAAAGCGUGGGGAGCAAACAGGAUUAGAAACCCCAGUAGUCC